GCAGAGUGUGAUAUUCAUCACCAGAUGCCAUCUGAGCCCAGUGGAGAGGAGCAACAGGAGCCACCUAGAGCUGUGUUUCUGAAGCCAGAGCCAUGACCUGACACCCUGAUGCUACUGUCAGGGCCUCUGUGCAACUGGCACGUGCACCAUGGAACUCAAAGUGUGGGUGGAUGGAGUCCAGAGGAUCGUCUGUGGGGUCACGGAGGUCACGACUUGCCAGGAGGUUGUAAUAGCCUUAGCCCAAGCCAUAGGUCGAACUGGAAGGUACACCCUUAUAGAGAAAUGGAGAGACACUGAACGUCACUUGGCACCACAUGAAAACCCCAUUGUGUCCUUGAACAAGUGGGGGCAGUAUGCUAGUGAUGUGCAGCUCAUCUUGCGUCGGACUGGGCCAUCUCUCAGUGAGCGACCCACCUCAGACAGUGUGGCCCG
rnacentral:lncRNA from 1 species